GCCUAGGUGGCUCAGUCGGUUGAGCAUCCGACUUUGGCUCAGGUCAUGAUCUCCUGGUUUGUGGGUUUGAGCCCCACAUUGGGCU
rnacentral:tRNA from 1 species